ACCUGGGUGGCUCAGUCAGUUAAGUGUCUGACUCUUGAUCUUGGUUCAGAUCAUGAUCUCUCGGUUUGUGAGUUUGAGUCCCACCUCAGGUU
rnacentral:tRNA from 1 species